rnacentral:rRNA from 1 species
UCGCCCUUAGAGUUUGAUCCUGGCUCAGGAUGAACGCUAGCUACAGGCUUAACACAUGCAAGUCGAGGGGCAGCGGGAUUGAAGCUUGCUUCAAUUGCCGGCGACCGGCGCACGGGUGAGUAACGCGUAUCCAACCUUCCGUACACUCAGGGAUAGCCUUUCGAAAGAAAGAUUAAUACCUGAUGGUAUGAUGAGAUUGCAUGAUAGCAUCAUUAAAGAUUUAUCGGUGUACGAUGGGGAUGCGUUCCAUUAGGUAGUAGGCGGGGUAACGGCCCACCUAGCCAACGAUGGAUAGGGGUUCUGAGAGGAAGGUCCCCCACAUUGGAACUGAGACACGGUCCAAACUCCUACGGGAGGCAGCAGUGAGGAAUAUUGGUCAAUGGACGAGAGUCUGAACCAGCCAAGUAGCGUGAAGGAUGAAGGUCCUACGGAUUGUAAACUUCUUUUAUAAGGGAAUAAACCCUCCCACGUGUGGGAGCUUGUAUGUACCUUAUGAAUAAGCAUCGGCUAACUCCGUGCCAGCAGCCGCGGUAAUACGGAGGAUGCGAGCGUUAUCCGGAUUUAUUGGGUUUAAAGGGAGCGCAGACGGGUCGUUAAGUCAGCUGUGAAAGUUUGGGGCUCAACCUUAAAAUUGCAGUUGGUACUGGCGUCCUUGAGUGCGGUUGAGGUGUGCGGAAUUCGUGGUGUAGCGGUGAAAUGCUUAGAUAUCACGAAGAACUCCGAUUGCGAAGGCAGCACACUAAUCCGUAACUGACGUUCAUGCUCGAAAGUGUGGGUAUCAAACAGGAUUAGAUACCCUGGUAGUCCACACGGUAAACGAUGGAUACUCGCUGUUGGCGAUAUACUGUCAGCGGCUUAGCGAAAGCGUUAAGUAUCCCACCUGGCGGAGUACGCCGGCAACGGUGAAACUCAAAUGAAUU